CUUUACUGAGUCUUACGUUAUGUUAAUUGCCAUUUUCUCUGAGUUUGGUGGUUAGCCAAUUCUCUUUGUCUUUGAUAUCAAUAUCGAGGAAUAAUCUUGCAAGGUUGUCAUACUGGUUUCAAACAAACUUAAUUUCUGUUACAAGAAGUGUUUGAAGUUUGUUGAAAAAAAUUUUAAGUGUACGAGCCUCAACAUUUAUAUAGAACUUUUUUUAUAUUUGUUUUGGUUGGGGUGGGGCAGGGGGCACCUGCAGUUCGGUUGUGUUCAGGUAAAAGCCUUACAAGGCUCUUUUUCC
rnacentral:misc_RNA from 1 species